AUUGAACGCUGGCGGCAGGCCUAACACAUGCAAGUCGAGCGGGGUUUUCGGACCUAGCGGCGGACGGGUGAGUAAUGCGUAGGAAGCUGCCCGAUAGAGGGGGAUACCAGUUGGAAACGACUGUUAAUACCGCAUAAUGUCUACGGACCAAAGUGUGGGACCUUCGGGCCACAUGCUAUCGGAUGCGCCUACGUGGGAUUAGCUAGUUGGUGAGGUAAUGGCUCACCAAGGCGACGAUCUCUAGCUGGUUUGAGAGGAUGAUCAGCCACACUGGAACUGAGACACGGUCCAGACUCCGACGGGAGGCAGCAGUGGGGAAUAUUGGACAAUGGGCACAAGCCUGAUCCAGCCAUGCCGCGUGUGUGAAGAAGGCCUUCGGGUUGGAAAGCACUUUCAGCGAGGAGGAAGUGUGGUGUGUUAAUAGCACAUCAUUUUGACGUUACUCGCAGAAGAAGCACCGGCUAACUCUGUGCCAGCCGCCGCGGUAACAC
rnacentral:rRNA from 1 species